rnacentral:lncRNA from 1 species
CAAAUGAGGAACUGUCACCGUGCAGGGAACAGCUGUUUUCUGUGGCAGAUGGGAAGAAGGGAUGUGGCCAAUGACAAUUAUCCCUUAAAGCUGUCCCCCAGAAUUGACACGUCACUUCUGCUCCUACCUCUUUGAAUGAACUAGUCUCAUGCCCAUGCUGACUCCAAGGGGCCAAGAGAUGCAAUCCAACUGUCUGACUGGGACGAACCAGCGGGACGUCUGGUUCGAGCAGCACUUGGGUUUACAGUCUGUGCGCAGAAGCGUGAGAGAUGACAUGGGACUGAGAUUGCAAGCAAGGAAUUGAUCGACAGGAUGACACAUUAAUGAGGACAUCGGCGGACGGGUGGCUCACUGGAGAGGAGGAACGAGGAGGG